rnacentral:rRNA from 1 species
GACGAACGCUCGCGGCGUGCUUAACACAUGCAAGUCGAACGAGGCCCCCCCUUCGGGCGGGUGACCUAGUGGCGAACGGGUGAGUAACACGUGGGCAACCUGCCCCCGGCUCUGGGCUAACCCCCAGACAUUGGGGCUACUACCGGAUAUGACCGCUGAACGCAUGGUAGGUGGCGGAAAGUUUUUUCGGCUGGGGAUGGGCCCGAGGCCUAUCAGCUUGUUGGUGGGGUAGUGGCCUACCAAGGCGACGACGGGUAGCCGGCCUGAGAGGGUGACCGGCCACACUGGGACUGAGACACGGCCCAGACUCCGACGGGAGGCAGCAGUGGGGAAUAUUGCGCAAUGGGCGGAAGCCUGACGCAGCGACGCCGCGUGGGGGAUGACGGCCUUCGGGUUGUAAACCUCUUUCAGCAGGGACGAAGCGAAAGUGACGGUACCUGCAGAAGAAGCACCGGCCAACUACGUGCCAGCCGCCGCCGUAA